rnacentral:lncRNA from 1 species
AAAAAAUACAAAAAUAUUUUUCCAACCUCUUCGAAUGAUGAUAAAUCUAUGAAAAAUAUUCUCAUCAAUUUAUUAAUUGAUUUGAUAUUUAUUUGAGAUUUUAGUUCAAUUAGGUUAUUUUUAUGCAUUUUUAAUUGAUUUAAAAUAGUUUCUGACUUUUAAAAAUGCUGAAAUUUUUUGUCUAACUUUGUUUGACCUUGUUGAACUUGGGAUAAUUCACUUGGACUUUUCAAAGUUGAUUUGAAGUGAGUUUGAAGUUUGACCUU